AAAGUUCUUCAGGGUUGGGUGUAAUUCCCUACCGGCGGUGACGCUGCAGUUGUUCCACGACAGGUGCAGACAAGUCCGCGACCCGCGUCAUGCGGCUGAUCCGGUACGAAUCCGGAACCGACAGUAAAGUCUGGAUGAAAGAAGAAAAUC
rfam:Clostridium sp. KLE 1755 genomic scaffold Scaffold74, whole genome shotgun sequence.